ensembl:misc_RNA Gm24248 predicted gene, 24248
GGUGUGGGCUGCAGCUAAGACUGUCACCCCCCUGACCACCAGGUUGAUGAGGCUGCUCUGACUCGCUAGGCUGGUAUCCCUUUCCACCUUGACUGUUCCACACCAUGUGAGUGCCGCCUGAAGCUGCUCACUUGGUCAACUGUGUACCUGGUUGAAGAGGAAGACUUUCCCCAAAUAGAGGAGUACUGGUCUCCCAUUGAGGGUAUACUACUAGCUGCACUCCCCUGCUAGAACCUCCAAAUCUAAAGACUCUUCUAUUAAGAGACCCUUGAAAUCUAGUCACCUGUAGUUAUGAGAGGGAACCACCCAUCAUCAGGUUGCU